rnacentral:rRNA from 1 species
AGGAUCAUUACUGAACGAAAUGGGUGGCAAGGCUGUUGCUGGCUCAAAUGAGCAUGUGCACGUCUUUUGCUGCUUGCUUCAUUCUCUUUUCCACCUGUGCACUCUUUGUAGACACUCAGGAUAAGGAGAGAGGUUGACAUUGAUUGUUGACCUCUCUUGACAUUGAAAAGUCUGGGUGUUUAUGUAUUUUUUCACAUACACAAUUGAAUGUCUAUAGAAUGUAAUGUAGGCUUUUGUGAGCCUUUAAAUGAUAAAAUACAACUUUCAACAACGGAUCUCUUGGCUCUCGCAUCGAUGAAGAACGCAGCGAAAUGCGAUAAGUAAUGUGAAUUGCAGAAUUCAGUGAAUCAUCGAAUCUUUGAACGCAUCUUGCGCUCCUUGGUAUUCCGAGGAGCAUGCCUGUUUGAGUGUCAUUAAAUAUCUCAAAAAGCUUGUGCUUUUUUGGCACGGGUUUUUUGGACAUUGGGAGUUGCCGGCCGCUGAAAAAGGGGUGGGCUCUUCUGAAAAGCAUUAGUCGAGGAGCUUUGCACUCUAUUGGUGUGAUAGACUAUCUAUGCCAGGAGAUGCUUCAUGAUCCUCUGCCAUCUAACUGUCUUUAUCAGACAACUUGAUAAACUUGACCUCAAAUCAGGUAGGACUACCCGCUGAACUUAAGCAUAUCAAUAAGCGGAGGAAAAGAAACUAACAAGGAUUCCCUUAGUAACUGCGAGUGAAGAGGGAAAAGCUCAAAUU